rnacentral:rRNA from 1 species
AAAGCGUGCGCAGGCGGUUUUGUAAGUCUGAUGUGAAAUCCCCGGGCUCAACCUGGGAAUUGCAUUGGAGACUGCAAGGCUAGAAUCUGGCAGAGGGGGGUAGAAUUCCACGUGUAGCAGUGAAAUGCGUAGAUAUGUGGAGGAACACCGAUGGCGAAGGCAGCCCCCUGGGUCGAGAUUGACGCUCAUGCACGAAAGCGUGGGGAGCAAACAGGAUUAGAUACCCCUGU